rnacentral:rRNA from 1 species
AGAGUUUGAUCCUGGCUCAGAACGAACGCUGGCGGCGUGCUUAAUACAUGCAAGUCGAACGUGAAGCCUUAGCUUGCUAGGGUGGAAAGUGGCGAACGGGUGAGUAACACGUAAGUAAUCUACCUCUAAAUUUGGGAUAACCUUGCCAACGCGGGGCUAAUACCGGAUGUGAUCAUGAAAACGCAUGUUUUUAUGAUUAAAGAUGCAAAUCGUUUAGAGAUGAGCUUGCGGCCCAUUAUGUUUGUUGGUGGGGUAACGGCCUACCAAGACUACGAUGGGUAGCCGGCCUGAGAGGGUGAACGGCCACAUUGGGACUGAGAUACGGCCCAGACUCCUACGGGAGGCAGCAGUAGGGAAUUUUGCGCGAUGGGCGAAAGCCUGACGCAGCAACGCCGCGUAAAGGAUGAAGGUUUUCGGAUCGUAAACUUCUGUUAUGUGGGAAGAAAAGCUCGCAAGAGUAUGACGGUACCACUUGAGUAAGCACCGGCUAACUACGUGCCAGCAGCCGCGGUAAUACGUAGGCUGCAAGCGUUGUUCGGAAUUACUGGGCGUAAAGGGAGUGUAGGCGGAACUAUAAGUUAGAAGUUUAAUUUACGGGCUCAACCCGUGAACUGCUCUUAAUACUGUAGUUCUUGAGUAUGGGAGAGGGUGAUGGAAUUCCAGGUGUAGCGGUGGAAUGCGUAGAUAUCUGGAAGAACACCAGCUGCGAAGGCGUCGCCUGGCCCAAUACUGACGCUGAUGCUCGAAAGCUAGGGGAGCGAACAGGAUUGGAUACCCUGGUAGUCCUAGCCGUAAACGAUGGACACUAGUUGCUGGAGGAGUCAAUCUUUUCAGUGACGAAGCUAACGCAUUAAGUGUCCCGCCUGGGAAGUACGCCCGCAAGGGUGAAACUCAAAGGAAUUGACGGGGGCCCGCACAAGCGGUGGAGUAUGUGCUUUAAUUCGAUGCAACGCGAAGAACCUUACCUGGGUUUGACAUGGGGGUGAAAGUUUCCAGAGAUGGAUUCCUUUCCGCAAGGAACACCCUACACAGGUGCUGCAUGGUUGUCGUCAGCUCGUGUCGUGAGAUGUUGGGUUAAGUCCCGCAACGAGCGCAACCCUCGCCCUUAGUUGCCAUCAGGUUAUGCUGGGAACUCUAAGGGGACCGCCUAGUUUAACUAGGAGGAAGGUGGGGAUGACGUCAAAUCAUCAUGGCCCUUACGCCCAGGGCUAGACACGUACUACAAUGGUCGGUACAGCGGGAUGCAAGACGGUGACGUUAAGCUAAUCCCUUAAAACCGAUCUCAGUCCGGAUUGAAGUCUGCAAUUCGACUUCAUGAAGUUGGAAUCGCUAGUAAUCGCGGAUCAGCAUGCCGCGGUGAAUACGUUCCCGGGCCUUGUACACACCGCCCGUCAAGCCAUGAAAGAUGGCAGUACCCGAAGUCGCUUCUCAAACCGCAAGGAUGAGUGCGCCUAAGGUAAGGCUGUUAAUU